UGUAGAUCCGACAUCGUCAAACGGAAAAUUACAAAGUUCUUGAAUUCCUGGAAGGUUCUAACGGGAUAUAGGGUUUUGUUCCAAUGGAAAACGCAUAUUCGUUUCUAGGAAUCGGUUUUAAUUAAAUUUCCACAUCCGUGAACAAAGGGAUAUGAUUUAUCGUGCGAUAGCAUAUAAUGAAAACUAAGGCAAAGAAUGGAAUUUUUUGUUUUUCGUAGAAAACGUGAGACGACAUCGCCUUGUUAAGAGGAAAUAAAACCAUUCCCGGAAAGAAUAACGAUCGUCGUUAAGCGUAAUGUAAUUUCUUUCUGAAGAGUCAUACUAAUCUAUCGCCCACGCGUAAUGCCUCGAUGCUAAGCAUCUCUCAUUUUGCAUCUCGUUCGUUGCCAUUCAUCUCGUCGUGUAAAACGCAAAUAAAAUGGAAAGAAAUAUUUUUUAUUCCAAGAAGCAAUUAUUCAAACAACAAUUUAUCAACGGAUAAGAAAAUCAGAAAUGUCCCUUUUAAUAUUUUUCAAAUUAAUAUUAAAACCAUCUUUCUCUUCUUUUUUACACUCUUACUUAUCUGAAAUUCUUUAUCUCCUAAUUUCGAUAAACCAUUUUACAAAACGUAGGCUAUUGUCCGUUUUACGUUUAACUGUUAUGAAAUUUUGCAGUCCAUUUACGCAUAAUCUUGCGAGUAAAGUACAUUUUGCCAAAAGUAAUCGAGCGUCUGUCUACUUUUGAACAAUACUGUACCCAACAGCUACUUACAGUGGCUACAAAAAGUAUUUCUGUAUUAUUUCUACUAUUCUGUUUAUCCCAGCGUGCUAAUCAAUUAUAUUAAUUGAAAGCAUAUUAAUUGUCCUCUGUCUGCAAAAGCCUUACCGACAUUUACACGCUGGAUCGUUUAGGAUCAUGCAAUAUCUGUUUACGUUCUCGUGUUUUAAAAAGUGUGCUCAAAAAUUCUUGAAUACUCUUGCAAGUUGUUAGAAUAUCUUCCAAUAAUUUUCAUAUCGAUACAUGUGAAUCUUUUUAAGCGAAGCGGAAUCUAAGCAAAAAUACGAAGAAAGUGGAAAAUCGCUUAAAGUCACUGGUCGAAAACCAUCCACUAUGCAGAUGGACAGAUAAAUUUCGCGUCACUUGAUAGUACUAUCGUAUGACUACGAACUAUUGACACUAGUUGAAAGUGAAAUGUAACGGCUGAUGAAAAAAAAUUGAAAAAGAUAGAGAUACGAUAUUGUUAGCUGUAGCUGCACAGCCACCACGCACUCAGCAUCGCAAAUAUCGAAAGCCCUGAAGAAAAUUUGAAGAAGAAAUGCUGUAAUUUUAUAAAACUGAAUUCUAAUCGACGAGACGAGUAAACGUGUGACAGAUAUCGUAGAAUAGAAAAAAAAGUGUAUAAUAGGCAAAAAAAGAAAUGUUUAAUAUAAAUUUUACUUAGAAUUCAUACACGCAAAGGAAGCUGUCGGAACAGAUUUAAUUCCCGUUCAUUAGAUUCGUCGCCUUACUGAAUACGAUAUUCUCGAGUUCGCGAUUCAAGGGAAAGCGAAGAAUUCUGGUGGGGUCGAGAGUGUAAAAUAAAAAACAGGGGGCUCGAACGAAAAGAAAAA